rnacentral:lncRNA from 1 species
CUUCACUAUCUGGAACUAAGAAGAUCUGGAAUUCCCAGGCAUCAAAAAAGAAGGGCUAGUUAAAAAGAGAGAAACCAAAGUCAAUAAUUUUCUAUGCCAUAAAGGAGGUUGAAGCAACAGAAAACAAAACAGAUGCGAUUCUUCACUGCAAGGAUGAAAGCCGAGUCAGAAAAGUGAGUGUACCUGUGAAACUGCAGAAAUUAAAAGUCUUUCAGUACCAGCUGCAGUCCUACAGGUGGUAAAUCUUCUCUAUUUUCAGAGCAUCCCUGGGAAGAGCCCUGGAGUGAAGGAGGAGAAGCACAGGGGGUGGUGUGGCGCUGAACAGAGCCUGGAAAUGCUAUCUCUCUCAAAAUGCUGUACUCCAGGGAGCCCUGAAAGCUGCUGCAACCUAUCUCAGAAAAUGCUAUGUCAGAAAGAGAAAUAGAUUUUUUUCCUAAACUUCCUUGAAUUCUAAAGACAACAUUUAAGGCAAUCCUAAGAAGUAGCCACAGAAUGUAUGUGACUUUUUUCCUUUUUUUUUUUUUCCUUUUUUUUUUUUUUUUUUAAGUGCUUGUCUGAAAAUACUGCCUGAUAUGCCUGGAGAGAA